UUUAAACUUAUCAAACACUCUAAAACCAAACACUCCCUUGAUCGGUUUGGGUAAAUUUUGGUAGGUAGUCAUGAAUCUGGACCUCACAAUUCUUCACAUGCACGUGCACACAAGGCACAAACAGACGCAUGAAGAUAUUAAUUUGGUUGCAUUAGGUAGCAAGUAGACUCUACAUGCGUAACAUAACAAUUAAGUCCUGACUAGAUGAGACAAUAGCAAGAUCCCAAGUUGUUUUUUGACACGAUUUGGGUUAGGUAGUGCGGUAGCUAAACUAAUCUCAGUACUUUGUGUCAUAAAUAUAAAGAUACAGUAGCAGCUUAACUAAUCACAAAUUGAAAUUGUGAAAAUAAUAAAUUCAUAUCACGACAACUAUUAGCAGGACACAAGAAUCUCACUGUGGAGGUGGAGCAGAAGUGGAAGCUACGUCUGCAGCCUAGUGUUGGGGUUGAAACUGCAAUUUCUAAAUUAGUUCAAGAGGAUGGUGGGUUUUCAGGACUCCGUCGUCGAAUGUCCUCCACCAUUUUCACUACAUCAGUCAUUUUUAAUCUCUGCUCUGGCAUCCUCACCACACAAUUCAUUCCUAUUUGUAACAUUUCUACCAUUUCCUCCUCAAUGUUGGGGUACCUUAAAAGUUCAAUGUCAAAUACUUCAGCAGUCCAUUCCUCCCUUACGACAGAAUGCACCCACCUCGCCAAGUGAACAACCUCGUCCCCACCUGUGGAAUGUAUAGGGGAUUUUCCAGUCAGAAGCUCAAGCAGCAAGACCCCAAAACUGUAGACGUCGGAAGCAUGAGUUGCUUUCCUAGAGUCUGUUACUUCUGGGGCACGGUACCCUGCAGUCCUCAUUCCCAGUGGGGGCAUUGGGCUCAUCAAUGCAGCCAAACCAAUAUCUGAAAUGCAGCCAUAUCCCUUAGAAUUGAGGAAAAUGUUUGAGGCUUUUAUGUUUCCAUGGACUAGUUUGCCACCGUUCUGUUUGUGGAUAUGAGCAAUGCCCCUCGCUGCACCAAUUGCAAUUUUCAGCCUCGUUUCCCAGUCCAAAGGAAUCCUGCCUUCCCCUCUAUUACCAUGUAGCAUUGCAGAAACACUCCCCUGCUCAUGGUAAUCACUCACUGUCAGUUUCUCAUCCUUUGAAUAGUAAUAUGCCCUUAGCGCAGAUACAUUUGGGUGCCUAAUACUUCCAAUCACUUCCAUCUGUUGCUCAAACUCUUUUUUAGCCACCGGCACUUCCUUCAAUCUCUUCACCACCACUGUGGUUGCGUCCUCAAGAGCUGCCUUGUAAGUUGUCCCAAAAGUUCCCUUCCCAAGCACUUCAGCGGAUGCUCUCAACAAGUCCUCCAAGUCAAAUGCAAGAUUACAACCUUCAAAGAAUACAAGCCCGUUAUUCUUAUCUUGACUCUCUGAAACAUUUUUCUUCAAAGACCCCUCUUUCUUUUGUAACUUCGUUGGUAAUCCACCUUCCUUGUCUUUCUUCGAAUAGCAGCAAACCAUCAGAAGAGCAAUAACUACAAACCCUAGAAAGCAGCCGCCUAUUACAAUCCCCAAUAUUGCGGGUUCACUUAGUUUCUUGGUUUUCUUUUGUGGUUGAGGACUUGGUGGCUCAAGUGGAAGGGCUGGAGGAAGGGCAGUUUCUGAUGAAAGGUUGUUACCAGAAAAUGCCCAACCUGGAAAUCUCAGAAGAGACCGAGGAACGCUUCCAGUGAGAUUAUUGUUGGUUAAAUUUAGAGAUUGCAAACUAGGAACAUUAAUAUCAGGAAUAACACCAGAAAGAAAGUUGUUAGCGAGAUUUAAAGAAGUGAGGUGUGUCAAAUUUGACACUGAAGUUGGAAUGCUUCCAUUAAACCCAUUAUUGGAGAGAUCAAGAAUUGAAAGAUUCUUCCACAUUGAGAAAUCCGAAGGCAAUGGGCCUGAGAAGUUGUUGAAUUGAAGAUAAAGGCCGGUCAAGUUUCCAAGUUUGGAGAAAUCGGAAGGGAAAGAACCCGAUAUACCAUUCAAUCUGAGGCUCAGGAUCUGAACUGCCGACAGGCGACUAAGAGUGUUUGGCGGGAUUGGGCCUUGAAUUCCCUCUCCAGGCAACCUGAGGGCUAUAACUCUAGAAUUAUCACCGUUACAGGUCACUCCUCUCCACUCCCUGCAUACUGAAGAGUUCUGCUUCCAAUUGAGAGAAUGCAAGUAAUGAAUAUUGUGAAGGAAAUCUAGUAAAGCUUGUUUAUCUUCAACUGGCUCUGCAAGGGCGGAAAAAGAAACUGCUCCAAAGAAGAGAAUUACAGAGAAAAUGAACAGGAGGUUCAUUUUCAUGCUUGUUUCCCUCAGCCAGAGUGAAAAAUCCAGCAGUGGAAGCAAAAUUGAGAUUGAAGAGCCAAGUAUCUAAUACAGUUCCUGGUUAAGUCUACAUGAAUUUGGGUAAAAGAUGAAUCAGAAUUAGCAAUAGAAGAAGAAAAAAGAUUACAUAAUGGUUGAAUGUUGAUUGUCAUUUGCAGUAGUAGAGAUAUUUCUUGUUAAUUUUCUAAAAGAGUAUGAUUCCUAGGACUUUAUUAGGAGCCUCAGGUCAGAAUUAGCAACUUAACCAUGAUUAGAAAACAUGGAGUUAUUCGUUGACUUUUAGAGCACUCUUUUACCUAAACUAUUUUGCUUGUUGGGACAAACAUAAAUAAAUAGAAAAUAAUCCAAAAUUUCCACGCCUAAUCCUAUGCACGAGUCAUCAAUCAUUUUCUUUCAUUUUCUCAGAAAC
rnacentral:misc_RNA from 1 species